GAGGAGCAGCCGCCGUGAGGAUGGGAGACCCUUUUGCCUACUGGAGCGGACCCCCAUCCCGCAGUGAAUAUGAAGACAACCCCCACGGCCCCACCAGCUUCGCCCGACCCAGCGCCAAAAGCAUCUACAAUCAGCGCAAGGACUACGGGCAGACGCUGCUCAAACCCCAAAGCGACUUCCAGCACCCCGUGGAGGUAGGAGACCCCCAGGGUGCCACCAAGU
rnacentral:lncRNA from 1 species